rnacentral:rRNA from 1 species
UACGUAGGGUGCAAGCGUUAAUCGGAAUUACUGGGCGUAAAGCGUGCGCAGGCGGUUAUGCAAGACAGAUGUGAAAUCCCCGGGCUUAACCUGGGAACUGCGUUUGAAACUACAAGGCUAGAGUGUGGCAGAGGGGGGUGGAAUUCCACGUGUAGCAGUGAAAUGCGUAGAGAUGUGGAGGAACACCGAUGGCGAAGGCAGCCCCCUGGGUUAACACUGACGCUCAGGCACGAAAGCGUGGGGAGCAAACAGG